UACGUAGGCAGCGAGCGUUGUUCGGAGUUACUGGGCGUAAAGGGUGUGUAGGCGGUUGUUUAAGUUUGGUGUGAAAUCUCCCGGCUCAACUGGGAGGGUGCGCCGAAUACUGAGCGACUAGAGUGCGGGAGAGGAAAGUGGAAUUCCUGGUGUAGCGGUGAAAUGCGUAGAUAUCAGGAGGAACACCGGUGGUGUAGACGGCUUACUGGACCAUAACUGACGCUGAGACACGAAAGCGUGGGUAGCAAACAGG
rnacentral:rRNA from 1 species